rnacentral:rRNA from 1 species
CACGUAGGGGGCAAGCGUUGUCCGGAAUCAUUGGGCGUAAAGCGCGUGUAGGCGGUUCAGUAAGUCUGCUGUGAAAGUCCAGGGCUCAACCCUGGGAUGCCGGUGGAUACUGCUGGACUAGAGUGCGGAAGAGGCGAGUGGAAUUCCCGGUGUAGCGGUGAAAUGCGCAGAUAUCGGGAGGAACACCAAUUGCGAAGGCAGCUCGCUGGGACGUUACUGACGCUGAGACGCGAAAGCGUGGGGAGCAAACAGG